UACAGAGGGUGCGAGCGUUGUCCGGAAUUACUGGGCGUAAAGGGCGCGUAGGCGGACAGUUUAGUCAGAGGUGAAAGCCCAGGGCUCAACCUUGGAAUUGCCUUUGAUACUGGCUGUCUUGAGUUCGGGAGAGGUGAGUGGAAUGCCGAGUGUAGAGGUGAAAUUCGUAGAUAUUCGGCGGAACACCAGUGGCGAAGGCGACUCACUGGCCCGAUACUGACGCUGAGGCGCGAAAGCGUGGGGAGCAAACAGG
rnacentral:rRNA from 1 species